rnacentral:tRNA from 1 species
GCGGGUGUAGCUCAGGGGCUAGAGCGACAGCUUGCCAUGCUGUAGGCCGUGGGUUCGAAUCCCAUCACCCGCU